rnacentral:lncRNA from 1 species
GCUGUGGGGGGAGGGGGUUGUUCAAGGGAUGGGGACGAUCAGGGUCUCUGGGAAGUGCUGACGUGUGCGCGUGUGCGGUGUGUUGCUUGUGGGUGCGUGUGUGGUGUGUGCAUGUGUGUGCGCGCGCGUGUGUGCGGGGUGUGCCGUGAGCGUGUGCCCGCGGUUCGGGGGAUGAGUAGGGGCGCUGACUUUUAGGACCAGCCAUUUGAGUCAAGCUGGAGACGACGUCUUAGAACCUAGGAUGAGUCUCGUUUGGUUUUAGUCUGCAAAGCUCGUCUGCAUCAGACAGGAAUUUUCCCCAGACGCGGGUGCACGUGAAUUAAUUCAUCAGAAGGCGGUUCACGGCCUGAGUGAGGGGGACGAGGGCGGCGAAUUCCUCCGCCUCAUUCCUACCCUGACGAUUCGAGAUGCUCGCUUCACCCCACUGAGAUGUAACUCAGUUUUGUGGGAUCCCACUGCCCUCCAGGUGCCGCUCCGAGUGCUCUACACAGAUUUUCAUUCAGUCCUUGCGGCACACGAAGAGUGGCUGUACCAUUUUGCAUUCCCAGACCGAAGUGUGAAAGCUCCAGAUGCCCCACGCCCUCACCAGCCCACGGUGUUGUCAGCCUUAAUAGUGCUGACCAUUCUGAGACAAGGUCCCACUAUUUUGCCCAGGCUGGUCUCGAACUCCUGGGCUCAAGCAGUCCUCCCACCUCAGCCUCUCAAAGUGCUGGGAUUACAGGCAGGAGCCACCACACCUGGCCAGAUACCCUCAUUAGAUUUUUGUGUCUAUUCUGAUUUCUUUAAAGUAACAUUUACUUUAAUAAAUGUUACUAUAUAAACAUAUAGCAUUAAUAUAAAAUUGUUUGUUACUGGUACAUAUAAAUACAAUUAACUUUUUAGAUUGCCCUCUUACCCUGUGACCUUGUUAAAUUCACUAAUUCUAGCAGCCGCUUUUGUGUAUUUGGUAAGAUUUUCUACAUAGACAAUCAUGCCACAGGUAAAUAGAACCCAUUUUACUGCUUCCUUUCCAAGCUGCAUGCUUUUUUUUUUUCUUGCUUUAUUGCAUUGGCUAGGUCCUCAUGCAUAAUAGUGAAUAGAAGUAAUGAGAGUAAACACCCUUGCCUUGUUUCUUGUCUUAGUGGGAAACCAUUUGGUCUUUCACCCUUAAGUAUAAUGUAAGCUGUAGUUUUUUUGUAGAUGCCUUUUAUCAGGUUGAAAUCUAUUUCUGUUUUGAGUGUUUUUAUCAUGAACCGUUGAUGAAUCUUGUCAAAUGCUUUUUUCCUCGUCUUUUGAGAUUAUCAUAUGGUUUUUCUUUUUCAGCCUGUUAAUAUGAUGAAUUACACUGAUUCAGUUUCAAAUGUCCAACCAAGCUUGCACUCCAGAGAUGAAGCCCACUUGAUCACAUGGAUUAUUCUUUUAAUAUAUGAUGGAUACGACUUGGCUGUUCUUUUGUUGAGGAUUUUUGUGUUUAUGUUAAUGAGGAUAUUAUUUGUAGUUUUCUUUUCUUGUAAUGUUUUUGUCUUUGUUCAGUGUCAGAGUAAUGCCAACUUCAUAAAGUGAGCUGGGAAGU